AUUCCAAACAACGAUAUAAUUGUAGCCUAUGCAUUGUGGAAACUGGGGAAAAAAAACGAAAAGGUCGUAGAGAGAUCUUUCGUAAAUUCAAACCGAGUUGUGUUUUUUCAAGCGACUGCCAUUGCAAUAUUGUGGUAAGCAUGUUAUUAAAUCAGUGAACGUCAUGAUUUUCAACUAUGUUUCCCUCCGUCCAUGAGAGGGCAUACUUUCACUGCUACGUUCACUGGUAGGUCUCCACUCUUAAAUAGAAUGGGAAACCGUGAAAACAAACCAGAGUCAAUUUGAUAAAAAUGUAACAAUGGAUGUUUACAGGGUUAAAGUAGAAUUUAAAUGUAACACCAGUGCUCUCAGUAUUCUCUCUCUUUUAUAUGACAACUUGAAGUUUAUAAUACACUAAAGUUAAUUCAUUUGGCGUUUAAAUCAGAUUAGCAUUUUACUAUGCGUAUUUCGAGUAUUUGACAGCGUUUAAUAGCACGCGCGUGUGUGGUGCACUCUCCAGCAGGAUCACUGAGGUUUAUUCUCGCGUUCUUGAGUACAUUACACCGAUGCAUAAAAUAAUGAAUCGCGUAGGAAUUAUGAAAUGAACAGCGUGGAAGACAAUGGGAUGGCAAAUUAUUCAAGAUACAGAGAAAACCAAAACUAAUAAAUGUCAGAGAUCCGUUAUGUGCGCCAAGAAAACCACGUAAUUCCUUGGUGAAAAAUUGCGUCCCGUGUUGCCAUCACUUUGUCCCCACAGAACCUCCAAUCCCGUUUCUCUCCUGAAGGUCUCUGCGUUACCCUCCAGUCCAGACAGUGCAAUGUGCCUUUCGAAAAAAAGGAGAGAUGCUGCUUUUCGAUGUUCCUGCAAGAACACAGCGAUAACCGUAAAACCGAUGAGAUGCGUUGCGAAAUCAAUCUGGAUUUAAAUACUGACCUGAGCUGUGAACGAGAUGAUGAUGGAGAGAAUCGGGGCGAUGAGGCUUUACCUUGUGAAAUGGAUUUGUCUGCGCUGGGCUUGGGUUUGUUUGGCUGCUUGUGGUGGUAAGGUGGAGUUGCACACAGAGAGGAGAGGAGUGAUCUACAGCCCAUCAUGGCCCCUCAAUUACCCGCCCGGUGUGAAUUGCAGCUGGAACAUACAGGGGAACCGCGGCGAUGUAAUCACAAUCAGUUUUCACAGCUUUGACGUGGAAGACACGGGGGACUGCAGAGGGGAUUGGCUGCUGCUCGGCCCCACAUGGAAAGCUGAGUAUCGGUUGUGUGGCUCUGUUCUCCCUCCUCCUUUCAUCUCCUCCAGAGGACGAGUCUGGGUCUUCUUCCACUCUCAGACCAACAGUUCCGGACUGGCACAGGGCUUCAGACUUUCGUACAUAAGGGGUCGGUUAGGUCAAAGUAGCUGCGAGAAUGAUGAGUAUUUAUGUGGAAAUGGAAAGUGCGUGCCACGUUCCUGGCGCUGUAAUGGUUUGGAUGAAUGUGGUGACAAUACAGAUGAAAGAAGCUGUGCCCCCCAGCCCACCCCGGCCCGGGCGAGUCUGUGUCCACCGGGCACCCUGGAGUGUUCCGACAUCCAGUCUACACGCUGUUUGCCAAUGUCCUUGCGCUGUAAUGGAGCUCGAGACUGUCCAGACGGAUCCGAUGAGGCCCGCUGCCCUGACACUUCCUGCGGAAAACGCUUAGUCAACUUUUACGGGAUGUUUGCAUCGCCUGAUUUUUUCCGGUCAAACAGGAGCGGGGGAACAGAUCUGCACUGCACGUGGUUCCUGGACACACAAGACCCAAAGCCGCUGGUUCUGCAGGUGGACCUUCAGCUGGGUGUGGGAGAUUCUGUGCGUGUUUACGAUGGUUUGGGAGAACGUGCGGACCGUCUUCUGCAGAGUCUCUCUCAUCAUAAUAACCACAGAAGAUCUCUGCUGGAGUCUUCACAGGGACAGAUGAGUGUGUUCUAUCACUCUAAACAUCACAGCACUGGACACGGCUUCAAUGCCACCUACCAGGUUAAGGGGUAUUGCUUUCCAGGCGAGCAUCCAUGUGGUACAGAUGAGGGCUGUUAUUCUGACCUGCAGCACUGUGAUGGCUACUGGCACUGCCCUGGAGGGCGAGAUGAGGAAGACUGCCCUCUGUGCCAGACGGGCGAGUAUCCCUGCGAGGGUGGCAGCGGGGCAUGUUACCCUGCCUCUGAGAGAUGUAACAACCAGAAGAAGUGCCCAGAUGGCUCAGAUGAGAAAAACUGCUUCGAUUGUCAACCCGGAAACUUCCAUUGUGGAACCAACCUGUGCAUCUUUGAGACAUGGCGGUGCGAUGGGCAGGAGGACUGUCUGGAUGGCAGUGAUGAAAGAGACUGUCUGGCCUCUGUGCCCAGGAAGGUGAUCACAGCAGCUCUGAUUGGCAGUCUGGUCUGUGGGCUCCUGCUGGUCAUUGCACUGGGUUGUGCCUUUAAACUGUACUCGCUCAGGACCAGAGAGUAUAGAGCUUUUGAAACCCAGAUGACCCGAUUAGAGGCGGAGUUUGUUCAAAGAGAGGCUCCACCCUCUUAUGGUCAGCUGAUAGCUCAAGGUCUCAUACCUCCAGUCGAUGACUUCCCAGUGUGUAAUCCCACACAGGCAUCUGUUCUACAGAAUCUCCGUUCAGCUAUGCGAAGACAAAUCCGUCGUCACUCCUCACGUCGUUCCUCAUCGCGACGCCGUCUUGGUCGUCUUUGGAACCGUUUGUUCCAUCGUGGUUCCCGGUUACGUGGUCAGAUCCCUCUGCUCACACCUCCUGGCCAUACACACACGAACACACACACAGUCCUGGGGCUCCAUAGCUACAACACAGUGGAUGCUAACACAGAGGAGUCGUGGGAAGGUGCGGGACAGACCCCGUCUCCCUGUUCGACUGCGGCGCUUGGGUUAGCCCUGCAGGCCCACUCUGAGGCCUUCUGCUUACCUGAGAGAGAAUCUCCACCCUCUCCCUUCUCUCCGCCCUCCCCUGCCUCACCACGCUCCACCUCGGACACCCUGGAGGACGAAGAUGAAGAAGAUAAUGGAAGUUCAGAGGUGUCUGGGGCGAGAAUACGACCCAAAUCUAGCACUCAAUGCUCUUCCCCAAAAUGUCAAGAGGAAGAUAGUUCACCAGGACCUCUGGACAGCCCCAAAUACAGCACGAACAGAUCCCGGACCUCCAGGAGGUUAGUGCAGGAACUGGCUGCAGAGCUCAGAGGAGUCUCUCUCUUACGCUACACAUCUGUGGGUGUCUCACCUCUUUCUUCUCCCGAGUCACCAACAUCCUCCAGUGGUCAGUCUGAGGAGCAAAGAGGCCUUCCUACAGUCAGAAAACCACAUAUGGACAUAAACACAGACUCUCUCACAGAUGUGCUCUUAAGCCCUGAACAAACUCCUUUAGGGGAGAGCAAGAAAUCAUCAGGAACAGAAGAUACGACGAAUGACAGACUAUAGACUCACAAGAAUAGAUUGAUGAUAUUUUCUGUGCACUGAGAAGCCUUUAUCAUACUUCCUUUUCCAAUUCUGUGCCAACACCCUGAGCCUUACAAGGUUCAGUGAACAGCCUUCCAUCAUGAGUCAUUGAGUUUCACGCCUUCAGAUGCUGAAUGUUUGAUUUUUAUGCUCUGUCAUAGUAGAAUGUGUAGGAGUAGAUCUCUGAUGAAACAGUUUCAUAGAUCAGCUACAGAAUUUCACAAAUUAAUUAAUUGAUCACAUGAUAGAAAUCACCAAGACCCUUUUAAUGUUAAUAUAGUGACUUUGUGUUUGAUUAGGACUGAGCAUACAUACUUUACCACAUGAAAUAUAAUUAUAGACCGUUUCAUCGGACGUGCGCGUCUGGACUGCAGUUAACUUACGGUCUGUGUUAGUUUGUCUAAUAUAACUAUUUAUAUUUAAUUUAUGUUAAUAUUAAUUAAUAUUAUUUUGCUGUAUAAUAACUGUAUUAAAUAAACGAUUUAAAAAAAUUUUGAUGAAUGUAAAUUUUAUGAAAUAAACAAUUUGUUGAAUGGGUCCUGUAGUUCUGACACAUUUAAAGAAGCUGUGUGGGACAUUGACAUCUAGCGGUUGAGCUUGGUAUUGCAGUCUAAAUUUAAACUUGAUUUUGGUUGUUAUCAGAAAUGAUCUACUGGCACUCUAUUAUUUAUGUGUACCAGAAGUUAAGGGCAGUCCACGAACGCGCGCAUAUCCAGUAGGCUAACGUUUGUUUAUGUCAUUGAGAAACCAUCUAUGACAGAGAACUUUUCUUGCCUGCAUCUCUGCGUCUUAUCAUCUUAAAGGCGGGGUGUCCGAUUUCUCUUAGCCGUUGUUGAUGUUCAAAUCAGCAAAACAAACACUACCCCCAUCUUUCGCUCAUCAGCGCUCGGCUCGGCUAAUGUCCGUCCUGUGCACUGUGCACCUUACUGCUGAUUGGCUAUAAGGUUGUUUUGGUACUCGGCCCGACUCAGUUGUCUAAAGCGUACGGAAAUCGGUUACCCCGCCUUUAAACUAAAGAGUAUGAUAUUCAGAGGAUCCUCUCUCUUCCCCAGCGCCUUAUAAGAGAUUCACUGAGUGAAAUACAAUUGAACUCGUAUCAUUUGUAUCGAACACUUUUCACAGCCAGUCUUCUCAGCAGUUGCUACACACUCACUCUGAAUGUUGCUUGUGCUCUACAUUAUCUGCAUAUUGCAGAUUAAGUCCUGAAAUAGUUUUUGUGCUGUUUUCUUGAAAGAUUUUGACAAGCAGUUUGAGUUGCAGACAUAACAUCAAUGUAAAAGCUUUGUAUACUCAUGCAAAAGACAUUCAGUUUUUUCUUAGGGACACAGAACUCAGGGAAUGUACAGUAUAAUGGUUUAUGAGAGACACUCUCGUGUGAUCUGUGUGUGAGAUGUGCUGCUGCACUUGAUGCUCUUGUUUGCGAGUAGGAUUGUUUCUCACUGUUGUUUGAAUGUGUAUGUUCUGUGUACAAUGCAAUGUAGUGCCACAUAAGUGAAACCUGCUGCUUUAGCCAACCUGAUUCUGGUCCUAGUACAGAAUUAAGUGCAGAAUGCAGGAUUUCUCAUCUCAUGGGUUCAAGAACAUGCCGUUGCAGAGAAAAACAAAGUUUAAGGAAUUCCAGGAGAAGAUCCUUAAAUGGAACAACGACAUCAAAGCCCCGCUCUGUCAAUGGACUGUGAAAGCAGAGGAAACCAGAAAUUACUUGCAAUAUCUGAAAGGCAUUACGUUUUGGGAUUGCAGCCAACAUCCACCAAGAUGUCUGAGGUGACAACACAGACCACAAGUUGCUAGGUAUGAAACAUUCUAUAUUGUGAGAGUAUGUUGUGAUAUUCUAUUAAAUGCCAUAAAUGAGCUGAUGUUUUUAUUUCAUGGUGUAUUUUGAUGUCUGCAACCUACAGGAUGGUCAGCAUUGAGGGCUAGGUCUUCUAUGAAGCUAUCUAUUAUAUAUCUGUUAUAUGCCUUUGUCGUGUGUUAAUCUGCAGUACCAGCAUGCACUAUGCGGGUGAUGGUACGGUAAUUCAAUGCAUAUGCUAUUUUAUAGGAAAUGAUACAUGUAAAGAAUAUAUCCAUUCAUUGGCUUUUGGUUUAAAUGAGUUUACAUGAGAGAAAUCCAUGACCAUUUCUCACACAUUUUCUUUUUGUUUCUCUUCAGAUCAUCUGUCUAGCAAUGUACCAGUGCCAGUUCAGCACCAGAACAGAGACAAGCCUAGAAUGGAUCUUGUAAGCGUUGUGCCUGUAGACUCAUUAACAUUAUACUGGUGUGUUUUGUUAUAUAUAAUAGAUUUUGAACCAUAAUAUUGGCUGUAUUUACAGUGUUUGACUUAUUGUUUGAUUAUUCUUAACGAUACUGUUUUAUUGUUAUGAUUUUAUCAGUUGCCAUCAGGCACUGCUGUAUCACAUUGUUAAAAAAAGCCAUUAUUAAUGGAUGUAUGUAAUAAUAAUGUA